AACGAACGCUGGCGGCGCGCCUAAUACAUGCAAGUCGAGCGAGAAGACGUAGCAAUACGUUUGUAAAGCGGCGAACGGGUGAGGAAUACAUGGGUAACCUACCCUCGAGUGGGGAAUAACUAGCCGAAAGGUUAGCUAAUACCGCGUACGCUCCUUGGACUUCGGUUCAGGGAGAAAAGCGAUACCGUGGGUAUCGCGCUCUUGGAUGGGCUCAUGUCCUAUCAGCUUGUUGGUGAGGAACGGCUCACCAAGGCUUCGACGGGUAGCUGGUCUGAGAGGACGAUCAGCCACACUGGCACUGCGACACGGGCCAGACUCCUACGGGAGGCAGCAGUAAGGAAUAUUGCGCAAUGGGCGAAAGCCUGACGCAGCGACGCCGC
rnacentral:rRNA from 1 species